AGAUCUGCACCAACAUCAGCAGCUUUGGUAUAAAUACCACCACCAACCCUUCCAAAAAGAGCCAUGGAAGAACCCCCAAGACCAUAGCCAGUAAUAGAUUCAAAGAGGCCUUCCCAAUCUUCCCCAUAGUAAAGCUUGAAGAGAUUUAUAGCAAUGUAGAGAACUAAUAGACCAUUUGCAGCAAGGAGAAAACCCAUAACCGCACCAGACCUAAAUGCAGUAAUAAAAGCCUUGCCAACACCCUUUCUUGCUUCCAGUGUUGUUCUUGCAUUGGCAUAGGUAGCAAUUUUCAUCCCUAGGAAACCAGAGACAACUGAGGUGAAAGCACCAAGCAAAAAUGAGACAGUGCUGAAUAUUGCAGUAGCAAGUGCUGGCUUGCAUGUUUUUUGUUUAUCAUAAGUACAAGGUUGGCUCUUUGUGCUAAAGCCCUCAACAGAACCCAGGAAAAGGAAUAUCAGAAUUGCAAAAGCCACCAUGAACACCCCAACAUACUGAUAUUCGGUGAACAGAAAAGAUGUGGCACCUUCAGAGAUUGCAGUCUGUAUCUCAGCGCACUUGGCCACAACGCUGUGGUC
rnacentral:misc_RNA from 1 species